UGAUUGGCCCCUUUCUGCAUCUCCAGCUUCAUCUUGGGCCAGAUCACCUUCGUCCCUUGAAUUCAGCUAUGCAGAAUGACCUACCAUUUCCCUAACAAGGGGUUUCUCAACUAUGGCACUAUUGACCUCUUGGGGUGAUCUGAAUGCAGGUGGUGGAUGGGUCAUGCUUCGAGUUCUGACUGGUAGUUGCAAGAGAAUACACUCUCUGGAAGCAGACAGUCUUACUGGCUGUAUGGCCUUGAUUUCAGAAGGAAGAGGUGGCCCCAGAGGACAAUCCCCAAGGGUAAUGGCAUUUGUAGCAGAAGCACAGAAGCCUUGAACUCCGACCCGGGUGGAAUCCCAGCUAGCUUCUUAUGAAUUCUAUGACCUUGUGCUUUCUCUGAGCCUCUGGGAAAACAGUGCAUCCCUUGUGAGGGGCUGAGGAUUGGAUUAAUUAAAGGAAACAGCAUAG